rnacentral:rRNA from 1 species
UACGGAGGGUGCUAGCGUUGUUCGGAAUUAUUGGGCGUAAAGAGCGUGUAGGCGGCCUCGUAAGUCAGAUGUGAAAGCCCUUGGCUUAACCAAGGAAGUGCAUUUGAAACUGCCUGGCUUGAGUACGGGAGGGGAAAGCGGAAUUCCCGGUGUAGAGGUGAAAUUCGUAGAUAUCGGGAGGAACACCGGUGGCGAAGGCGGCUUUCUGGACCGAUACUGACGCUGAGACGCGAAAGCGUGGGGAGCAAACAGG